rnacentral:lncRNA from 1 species
AGAAAACCGUGUGAUAAGCGUUCGCCUGUGAUGUGGAGUGUGUCGCGCACUCUGAUUGGUCCAUUCAUCUGAAGCGCACAUCAUCUACAGACAGGCAGAGCGCCUUCAGACAGAGCGCUCAACACACUGAAAGAGAGAGAGAGAGAGAGAGAGAGGCAACAGCUUUACCGAUAUAUUCUUCAAAGUUUUACUGGACAAAAAAUCUUAAACUUCACAAACCUUUCAUCUCAAAUAGCCAUGGAUUGUCGAAACAGUGAUGGGAGAGCUUUCUGAUGAGACAUACAAGUAAAGUUCACACAAGAUGUUCCUUGAAUGAUGAUUGGUCUCAGGAUCAGUUCCCGUCAUGCUGGUGAAAGCUCUGUUGCUGGGAACAUUCUCAGAUCUUUGAUGUUGGAUGCAAAUCUAAGCAUUGCAGAAACCUCAGAGGAGUGUCACUGUUAGCUUGCGAAGCUCCGAAUGCUUUCAGCUUCAGUCCCUUGAAUGCAACGCACCCCCAGCAGGCAGGAAA